rnacentral:rRNA from 1 species
UACGUAGGGGGCAAGCGUUGUCCGGAUUUAUUGGUCGUAAAGAGCUCGUAGGCGGUUCCGUAAGUCGUGAAGUCAAAUCUCUGGGCUCAACCCAGAAUCGCUUCCGAUACUGCGGUGACUGGAGUCCGGUAGGGGAGUGUGGAAUUCCUGGUGUAGCGGUGAAAUGCGCAGAUAUCAGGGAGGAACACCAACAGCGAAGGCAGCACUCUGGGCCGGUACUGACGCUGAGGAGCGGAAAGCAUGGGGAGCGAACAGG